ensembl:rRNA 5S_rRNA 5S ribosomal RNA
AAAGAAAAAAAAGUAUGCGCCCGAUCUCGUUUGAUCUCGGAAGCUAAGCAGGUUCAGGCCUGGUUAGUACUUGGAUGGGAGACCGCCUGGGAAUACCAGGUGCUGUA